rnacentral:lncRNA from 1 species
AGCCCUGGUAUAGGUAUAUGGACUCAGUACAGACGAGUCUGCACAGUCAGUCAUUUAGAGGCCUCCGCCGAUUCCACCUCACAUCUUACGCCCGCUCGCAGCUCAGCGCCGAACAAGUGAAAAUUAAAUUUAUCGCCAAAUUAACCUGCCAGCGUGGAAAAAUACGAAAAAAGUUUACCCACCAGCCACUAAUUAGUUAUUACCGUGUAGGAGCACAAAAAUUUGCAAAUAUCAGCAAACUGUGGCUGCGAUGUUGCACUCUGAAGCGCACGUUUCCGCAAUCAACAUCGACUGAUGGCGUCUAGGCUAGUGGCUGUGGUAUUGUUUUGGAGGCAGUCAGUAGUACUCAGUACUGAGAUGCGGAAGACAACAAUUAAUUGUGGAUAAACAAGUUUUCUAGAGCUUACUCUACUGCAUCCUCCUCCUACACACAUGUUAAUUUGAAACAUAAAACCGGACCGUAAAUCACCACGUGACUGGUGACUUUCUAAGGCUUUCCAAGAGCAGGAGCAAAAAUUUUAGAGAGUAAGCUGAUGGGCAGUGGCUUCCGGUUAGGACCAGCGGGUGGAAAUUACUGGGAUGAAAACCCGUGACCCAUUUAGGUUUUGGAAUUUACCGAAAUAGCGGGCUCUUGGUUGGCUGCAGCAUUGUUAUAUGUAUUUCAAAUAUCAUCCUCUGUAAAUAAUAGUUACAUAUGUGACAAGUAACAACAA